rnacentral:rRNA from 1 species
AUUGAACGCUGGCGGCAUGCUUUACACAUGCAAGUCGAACGGUAACAGGUCUUCGGAUGCUGACGAGUGGCGAACGGGUGAGUAAUGCAUCGGAACGUGCCCAGUCGUGGGGGAUAACGCAGCGAAAGCUGCGCUAAUACCGCAUACGAUCUAUGGAUGAAAGCGGGGGACCGUAAGGCCUCGCGCGAUUGGAGCGGCCGAUGUCAGAUUAGGUAGUUGGUGGGGUAAAGGCCCACCAAGCCAACGAUCUGUAGCUGGUCUGAGAGGACGACCAGCCACACUGGGACAGAGACACGGCCAAGACUCCUACGUGGGGCAGCAGUGGGGAAUUUUGGACAAUGGGCGCAAGCCUGAUCCAGCAAUGCCGCGUGCAGGAAGAAGGCCUUCGGGUUGUAAACUGCUUUUGUACGGAACGAAACGGCUCUCUCUAAUACAGAGGGCUAAUGACGGUACCGUAAGAAUAAGCACCGGCUAACUACGUGCCAGCCGCCGCGGUAAUAC